UACGUAGGGCGCGAGCGUUAUCCGGAAUUAUUGGGCGUAAAGAGCUCGUAGGCGGUUUGUCACGUCUGCCGUGAAAGUCCGGGGCUUAACCCCGGAUCUGCGGUGGGUACGGGCAGACUGGAGUGCAGUAGGGGAGACUGGAAUUCCUGGUGUAGCGGUGAAAUGCGCAGAUAUCAGAAGGAACACCGAUGGCGAAGGCAGGUCUCUGGGCUGUUACUGACGCUGAGGAGCGAAAGCGUGGGGAGCGAACAGG
rnacentral:rRNA from 1 species